UACGGAGGAUGCAAGCGUUAUCCGGAAUGAUUGGGCGUAAAGGGUCUGUAGGUGGUUGUUCAAGUCUGCUGUUAAAGCGUCUGGCUUAACCAGAUAAAGGCGGUGGAAACUGAACGACUAGAGUGCGGUAGGGGUAGAGGGAAUUCCCAGUGUAGCGGUGAAAUGCGUAGAGAUCAGGAAGAACAUCGGUGGCGAAGGCGCUCUGCUGGACCAUAACUGACACUCAGGGACGAAAGCUAGGGGAGCGAAUGGG
rnacentral:rRNA from 1 species